rnacentral:lncRNA from 1 species
GCAAAAUAAAUUCAAAUCGUUAAAAAAAACCUUUUGUGAGGAAAUUUCCGGCCUGAGCUGAUACCAGAUUCGGGGCACUUGGAGCAUGAUGCGGCCUCCAUCAAAGCGAUCAGCCUCCACCAAGCAACGCAUUCGACCUGACUUAAGAAGGUAUCCGGGACCUCGUCCGGGACUGGAAAUGGAAACCGACAAUACUAGCUGAAUUUGCUCUCGCAGCCCCUCCCAGCAACAAAUAUCGCGGAAAGCUGGUUUCGUUUGGAAGGAUGUUCCUGUUACAUUUUAUGCCGGAUUUGCUGCUGCAUACCAGCUAGACUGAAUGAUUUCCGGAUCGGCGGAUAGUCGCUUCUUCAACAUCAGAGGACAAAUAAAAGUGG